ACAGGGAUUUCAACACUCAUGCGCCCCGUUGGCAAAUAUAGAUAGUAAUGUAGCAUCCAUCCAGGAAAGCAAACAGAUAAUAUGAUUAGUUUAAAGUAGUAUAUGAUGCAAUAGUUUAUAAGUGGCAACGUUACUCCAACAUGCCCUC